GGAGGUGGGAACAUGACAUUCGAUCCGAAUAGAAUCAUCCUUUUGGAUGAGCUUGAGCAUGAGAUUGAAGGAAUUAUUUUUGAAUGCAGAAUUUAAAUCAAACCUUCAUUGUUUUGCUUCCUGUUUUUUAUGAACAGGGAGUUUU
rnacentral:sRNA from 19 species